rnacentral:rRNA from 1 species
UCGCGGCCUAUCAGCUUGUUGGUUGGGGUAAUGGCCCGCCAAGGCGACGACGGGUAGCCGGCCUGAGAGGGUGACCGGCCACACUGGGACUGAGACACGGCCCAGACUCCUACGGGAGGCAGCAGUGGGGAAUAUUGCACAAUGGGCGGAAGCCUGAUGCAGCGACGCCGCGUGAGGGAUAACGGCCUUCGGGUUGUAAACCUCUUUCAGCAGGGAAGAAGCGAAAGUGACGGUACCUGCAGAAGAAGCGCCGGCUAACUACGUGCCAACAGCCGCGGUAAUACGUAGGGCGCAAGCGUUAUCCGGAAUUAUUGGGCGUAAAGAGCUCGUAGGCGGUUUGUCGCGUCUGCUGUGAAAGCCCGGGGCUCAACCCCGGGUCUGCAGUGGGUACGGGCAGACUAGAGUGAUGUAGGGGAGACUGGAAUUCCUGGUGUAGCGGUGAAAUGCGCAGAUAUCAGGAGGAACACCGAUGGCGAAGGCAGGUCUCUGGGCAUUAACUGACGCUGAGGAGCGAAAGCAUGGGGAGCGAACAGGAUUAGAUACCCUGGUAGUCCAUGCCGUAAACGUUGGGCACUAGGUGUGGGGGACAUUCCACGUUUUCCGCGCCGUAGCUAACGCAUUAAGUGCCCCGCCUGGGGAGUACGG